rnacentral:lncRNA from 12 species
UCACAUCUGGCUGCCACAGCCUUACCCGACCCCUUGCAGUGCCCAGUUCCCUAAGGCAGAAGGGGAUCCCAGCACACCAUGGAAAUGGUUCUCAUCUCUGCUCCUUUCUAGGAGAGCAUUCUAGGAAGGCUUCUCCAGCAGCUGGGAUGGAAGACGGUUUGGAACCCAUGGGAGCUUCUGCAGGUGUGUCUGCAAGGAGGACUUUUCAAGGUCCUUUGCUGGAUGCUGCACACAGGCUUGGCUCCCAUCACAGGGGUGAGUAGUGUGUCCCUGCUGACCCCACAGGCUGAGCACUGCUUUUGUGGGAUCCAUUAGUGGGAAAACUGAAAUAUUUCCUCCUAAGGUCAUCUGAGAGGGAGGAAUAAACCUAAAGGAGACAAUAAGUUCCUGGAGGCAUCCAAACACAUGGACAAGACACUGAGUGAUCUGGAGAGACGCCAUGGUGGGUGCAUUUCCCUCAGCCUUCUCCUGAGGCUCAGCAGCCGGGGGCUUUCUCUGCACA